GGGGGCAGCUUAUUGGUUAAAUGCGAAGUGUGGUUUUCAAAAUGUUUAACAAGUGCGAAGGCAUGAGCGCUGGGCGAUUAGAAGGCACAUUCACUGGGCAUAGUAACUGGCGUGGGCGUACUCAUAUGUUUUUGUGUAGCAACCAAAGGAAUUAUUAUCCAGCAAGUUACCACCAAGAGCAACUAUCUUGUGACCCUGCUGGGAUUCAGUAUAGACUGUGCACCCUGGAGUUAUCUUCUGCAGGAGUGACAGAGCUGGGACAUUUAAGUUCCCAUCCGAUGUUGGUUGAAGUCUGCAUCUUGGACGUUAAUUCUACGGCACUUCUGUCCUGCCAUUCGAGUGGCCAAGUAGGGUCUGGAAGAGGAUGGAUGCCUUUAUGCAAAGCAUGGCUUCCCCUUUUUCCAGAAGAGGAAAUGAGGACUGGAGAUGUCGAAUAACCUACCCAAGGACAUGCAGGAAAAUGUGGAAUUCAAACACUCCACUCAUUGGACAGAGGAAAGGGUCAGUUGAGGUGACGGAUGAUAGAUAUUCUGGGAAGAGGAAGAGCCGGACUGUGGAGAAAGAGCCGGGGGCUGCUGUCUGGCCCGGACAGGCUUCUCCAUGUCCGGCAGCUCUAGUCUACAGAGGGGACCACGUGCUGCCUGGAGCUCCAUCUUGACAUCUUGGCGAUUACUCUCUCCUGGGUGCAGGUAAUGGCCAACAGGUGUGCCUCUUAGGGAAUCACCAGUAGAUCCAGGAUGGUGAGAGCUUAUUUAAUAUGCUGACGUAUUGGGCGGCAACGGGAAGGAUUCCGCAGUCACACCGAGGCUCAUUGAACAAGAGUGAUGUGAGUGCCGUGAGGAGCCCCAACUGACGGACUCCCCAAGGCGUUGCCACCGUGGGGACUCCCAGGCUGGAGAUCACAUGGGAAACGUAGCUGGACCUCAGGCGGUGUAUGGCUUCUGUGAGGACGGAGUGGAGCUCAGGCAGCAGGGCCCUGCAAGGACGGCCCAUUGCAGACCCUACCAGCCACCGACUUCAGCAUGCAGGCCUUCCAGGGAGGAUCCGGAGGAUGGCACAGGGACCUGCGCGUAUGAAUCAUGUGGGUCGAGGACCUCCGUCCCCUUUCAUGCCAGCACCAGGGAGGAUCCUUUUCUCUCCUCUGCUGUACCACCAUCUAGCAUCCAGAGUAACCUAAUUCAAGAGCCCAACUAAGUCAUCCCGGAGUGUGAGGUGACCUGCAGGACAAGUGGGUGCCCAUCACUGCAGAGCCACACAUGCACCUGGACCAGGAACCAGAGAAGCUGGAGGAGACCCAGUGGGCAGUGGAGAUGCUGUGGGCCCAGCCAGUGUCCACAGCACCCAGGUGACUUCCUCAAUGGUCCAACCUCUGGGGAGAGGCAGAACCAGCAGUCAAACCUCAGUGGAUCUGAUUCUGAAGCCCAACCGAUUCUGUCGCAUGCAAACCUAGGAGUGACAGAUGAAGAAAGAUCUGGCUGCUGGGAGGUUCCUGUCAAAGCAGACUUUCCUGUCAUGAGCUUGUAAAGUACAAAUAAAUAAGCACCGAACACAUCAGUCUGAACAGACUAAGACAGUCUCUGGGGCUGUGAUUCCAAACCUGAGCUUGUCUGGCAUUGUGCAGAAGGAUGGGCAUUUUUCAGGAAACUCACAGCUAGUGAAUUCCAGGUUGACUGACCACGU